GGGCGCUUAGCUCAGUUGGUAGAGCGUCUCGUUUACACCGAGAAUGUCGGCGGUUCGAGUCCGUCAGCGCCCA
rnacentral:tRNA from 1 species